GCUCAAGAGACAGGUUUUGCUAUGCAAGAGCAUGUUACAGCUAAGAGAGUGGUGGUUAUGGCUGGAUAAUACUGUAUGUUGUUGAUCUGUAGGUGGUUAUGGCUGGAUAAUACUGUAUGUUGUUGAUCUGUAGGUGGUUAUGGCUGGAUAAUACUGUAUGUUGUUGAUCUGUAGGUGGUUAUGGCUGGAUAAUACUGUAUGUUGUUGAUCUGUAGGUGGUUAUGGCUGGAUAAUACUGUAUGUUGUUGAUCUGUAGGUGGUUAUGGCUGGAUAAUACUGUAUGUUGUUGAUCUGUAGGUGGUUAUGGCUGGAUAAUACUGUAUGUUGUUGAUCUGUAGGUGGUUAUGGCUGGAUAAUACUGUAUGUUGUUGAUCUGUAGGUGGUUAUGGCUGGAUAAUACUGUAUGUUGUUGAUCUGUAGGUGGUUAUGGCUGGAUAAUACUGUAUGUUGUUGAUCUGUAGGUGGUUAUGGCUGG